GAUUCGACACAAAAUACCGGAAGGACCCGGAGUCCCUCAGAGCCCCGAGAGGGCUUGCUCCACCGUGGGCGCACUGGAGGGCUGCGAGGUCCCAGGUAGACCCCCCCAGCGAACAGAUUUGCACGAUUAUGCGUCAGUGGGCCUUCAAGAACGCAGCUCCAUCCAACACAUGCUGACCGAAACUCACGAGGACCUUCAGAGCACAGGCUUGUACAGGGGCACUGACGCCCUGGCUGACCGACGGGAGUACACACUUCUCUGUUUGUGUUCUUUCGCCCCCUGGUUCUUAAAGGCUCAUUAGACAUCACAUCAGAUGAGGACUUAGACUCAAUGUUGCGCAGCUCAGAUGAUCCUCCGAUAAGGAAACAGAUCAAGAGAGGUUAAUGAUUUGCCCACCUUCACCCAUCCAUGCCCUCCAAUGUCAAGACAAAAGUUGGGGAAAGGAAGGGGAAGAAUGACGGGCUUUUUGGAGAAGACCAGUGCUGACUAGGCUUUGAAGGGCAAACAAGAUUUGAAUCAGCAGAGAUGAGGAAAGGCUGGGAAAAGAUAAUGUGCCGGAGAGUGGAGAUGAGCGUCCAGGUGCCUGGGAUUCCCUCUGCCUGGCCUUGCUUCAGCUGACCUCCCUUUUGUAGUUAGGCCCCCGCUGAUGGACCCUCCGAAAAUGGCUUCUUCCCUCCCUCCUGCCCCAAGGGCGGGUUGGCUGCAAAAGCUGGAUUCCCUUUCUACAGAGGGAAUAGAAACAUAAAGAAUGUAUUAGUUAUAGAAAUAGCAUUGCACACACCCACCCUAAUGCCUAAAAUGGAAAUGAUGGAAAGUGCAAAGUGAUGCUCUGGGACUCUCCCACGCAGCUGAGAGGAAUGUGGAUUUGUACAGCCACUUUGGAGAACUCUUUGACAGUGGCUACUGAAGCCAACCAUAUACACCUUAUGGGUGACCAGCAGUCCCACCCCAGGAGUAUACAAGAGUAGAAAAGCUCAACAGAGUGAAGUCACCUUUCCCAGAACUGUGAAAUUUCAUAUUACUUCUCUUCCUGUUCCGGUUUGUGGUUCUGGAGAAGUACACACAAUUUACCAUAAGCAGAGCAGGUCAGUAAUGUCUCAUCUAUGUUCGUGUGAGGAUAGUCUCAUCACUAGUCUCCAAAUCCAUCCUUUCCCUGCUCCAGUUCAUCCUCCCCACUGCUGCCUCAUCUCACGUGAGUAUAGGCACUCCAGCUUUUUUAUGAUUAGUGCCAAUGAUCAAUGCAGAGCUGAAUCCUCCUACCAUAAGCCAAGUGAGUGAGCCACCUAGGAAACAAGUCCCUAGCCCCAGUCUGGCCUUCAGAUGACUGCAGCACCAGCCAACAUCUUGACUCCAACCUUCUGGAAGGUCCUAAUCCAGAACCACCCAGCUAAACUGCUCCCAAAUUUUUGACCUACAAAGACUGUGAGGUUCAGGCAGCUCUAAUGGGGGCUAAAGCAGGGAGAUGGCCUGAAAAAGAUUUUAAAUGCAGGCUUAUGAAACAUGACUAAAAUUUACUGUACACCACUUCCCAGCCUGGCUGAGGAGAACUCCUGUGUGGCAUCCUCUACGCUCUUCUGCUGAUUGUCUCUCGAUGUCCAUAUGUUAAAGACGGCAGAGCCUGGUCCCUGAGUGACCAUGUGGGACAGAGCCCCUCACCCCAACCCUUUCUGAUAAACUCCGUGAACUGUUGACACAAGCAGAAACAGGUGGAGAAAUCUCUCUCUCAGCACCAUGGCAACCAGAUCGCAUUCCCCUCUCACAGAAGAAUCACAAGUGCGCCCUUGCAGACAUUGAUCCAUUUGUGCGCACUGAGCUCCUUUCAAGGCCAGGCCCUAUGCUGAGUGCUUGGAACACAGAGAUGUAUAAACCAAAGUCCCUGAUUUAAAGGAGUCCACAGCCUGAAGCAGGAGCCAAACCUGCGAAGGCAACAGCGUGAUAAGUGAUUGACCGAGGAAAGGACACACCGAGUGCCAUGGGAAUUGCUCCUCCUCUUUGGGAUCAAGAAGCUGGCCUGCUGGGCCUCUCUGAAGAGCUGAGCUCGAGCUGAAUUGGGGAGAAUCAGUCAGACUUGGUCAAAAGGAUGAGCUGGGGAAGCUUGAGAGCACCUUUAAGGAGCAGCAAGCAUGGCCUGAGACCAGGGCCCUCGAGGGUCCCAGAGACAGACAGGUAGAGGCCCACGGUGCUAAACCAGAGUGCUCUGUCCACACUGCUCUCACUGGGGUCCACCAUCAGCUAGCGCCCAGCCCAGGGGCCAUUCUCCAGCCCU